rnacentral:piRNA from 1 species
GGAAAAGAUAGGUGAUGUCACUUUGA